UUAAGUUAUUAAGGGCGCACGGUGGAUGCCUUGGCACUAGAAGCCGAUGAAGGACGUUACUAACGACGAUAUGCUUUGGGGAGCUGUAAGUAAGCUUUGAUCCAGAGAUUUCCGAAUGGGGAAACCCAGCAUGAGUUAUGUCAUGUUAUCGAUAUGUGAAUACAUAGCAUAUCAGAAGGCACACCCGGAGAACUGAAACAUCUUAGUACCCGGAGGAAGAGAAAGAAAAUUCGAUUCCCUUAGUAGCGGCGAGCGAAACGGGAAGAGCCCAAACCAACAAGCUUGCUUGUUGGGGUUGUAGGACACUCUAUACGGAGUUACAAAGGACGACAUUAGACGAAUCAUCUGGAAAGAUGAAUCAAAGAAGGUAAUAAUCCUGUAGUCGAAAAUGUUGUCUCUCUUGAGUGGAUCCUGAGUACGACGGAGCACGUGAAAUUCCGUCGGAAUCUGGGAGGACCAUCUCCUAAGGCUAAAUACUCUCUAGUGACCGAUAGUGAACCAGUACCGUGAGGGAAAGGUGAAAAGCACCCCGGAAGGGGAGUGAAAUAGAACCUGAAACCGUGUGCUUACAAGUAGUCAGAGCCCGUUAAUGGGUGAUGGCGUGCCUUUUGUAGAAUGAACCGGCGAGUUACGAUUUGAUGCAAGGUUAAGCAGUAAAUGUGGAGCCGUAGCGAAAGCGAGUCUGAAUAGGGCGUUUAGUAUUUGGUCGUAGACCCGAAACCAGGUGAUCUACCCUUGGUCAGGUUGAAGUUCAGGUAACACUGAAUGGAGGACCGAACCGACUUACGUUGAAAAGUGAGCGGAUGAACUGAGGGUAGCGGAGAAAUUCCAAUCGAACCUGGAGAUAGCUGGUUCUCUCCGAAAUAGCUUUAGGGCUAGCCUCAAGUGAUGAUUAUUGGAGGUAGAGCACUGUUUGGACGAGGGGCCCCUCUCGGGUUACCGAAUUCAGACAAACUCCGAAUGCCAAUUAAUUUAACUUGGGAGUCAGAACAUGGGUGAUAAGGUCCGUGUUCGAAAGGGAAACAGCCCAGACCACCAGCUAAGGUCCCAAAAUAUAUGUUAAGUGGAAAAGGAUGUGGCGUUGCCCAGACAACUAGGAUGUUGGCUUAGAAGCAGCCAUCAUUUAAAGAGUGCGUAAUAGCUCACUAGUCGAGUGACACUGCGCCGAAAAUGUACCGGGGCUAAACAUAUUACCGAAGCUGUGGAUUGUCCUUUGGACAAUGGUAGGAGAGCGUUCUAAGGGCGUUGAAGCAUGAUCGUAAGGACAUGUGGAGCGCUUAGAAGUGAGAAUGCCGGUGUGAGUAGCGAAAGACGGGUGAGAAUCCCGUCCACCGAUUGACUAAGGUUUCCAGAGGAAGGCUCGUCCGCUCUGGGUUAGUCGGGUCCUAAGCUGAGGCCGACAGGCGUAGGCGAUGGAUAACAGGUUGAUAUUCCUGUACCACCUAUAAUCGUUUUAAUCGAUGGGGGGACGCAGUAGGAUAGGCGAAGCGUGCGAUUGGAUUGCACGUCUAAGCAGUAAGGCUGAGUAUUAGGCAAAUCCGGUACUCAUUAAGGCUGAGCUGUGAUGGGGAGAAGACAUUGUGUCUUCGAGUCGUUGAUUUCACACUGCCGAGAAAAGCCUCUAGAUAGAAAAUAGGUGCCCGUACCGCAAACCGACACAGGUAGUCAAGAUGAGAAUUCUAAGGUGAGCGAGCGAACUCUCGUUAAGGAACUCGGCAAAAUGACCCCGUAACUUCGGGAGAAGGGGUGCUCUUUAGGGUUAACGCCCAGAAGAGCCGCAGUGAAUAGGCCCAAGCGACUGUUUAUCAAAAACACAGGUCUCUGCUAAACCGUAAGGUGAUGUAUAGGGGCUGACGCCUGCCCGGUGCUGGAAGGUUAAGAGGAGUGGUUAGCUUCUGCGAAGCUACGAAUCGAAGCCCCAGUAAACGGCGGCCGUAACUAUAACGGUCCUAAGGUAGCGAAAUUCCUUGUCGGGUAAGUUCCGACCCGCACGAAAGGCGUAACGAUUUGGGCACUGUCUCAACGAGAGACUCGGUGAAAUCAUAGUACCUGUGAAGAUGCAGGUUACCCGCGACAGGACGGAAAGACCCCGUGGAGCUUUACUGUAGCCUGAUAUUGAAAUUCGGCACAGCUUGUACAGGAUAGGUAGGAGCCUUUGAAACGUGAGCGCUAGCUUACGUGGAGGCGCUGGUGGGAUACUACCCUAGCUGUGUUGGCUUUCUAACCCGCACCACUUAUCGUGGUGGGAGACAGUGUCAGGCGGGCAGUUUGACUGGGGCGGUCGCCUCCUAAAAGGUAACGGAGGCGCUCAAAGGUUCCCUCAGAAUGGUUGGAAAUCAUUCAUAGAGUGUAAAGGCAUAAGGGAGCUUGACUGCGAGACCUACAAGUCGAGCAGGGUCGAAAGACGGACUUAGUGAUCCGGUGGUUCCGCAUGGAAGGGCCAUCGCUCAACGGAUAAAAGCUACCCCGGGGAUAACAGGCUUAUCUCCCCCAAGAGUUCACAUCGACGGGGAGGUUUGGCACCUCGAUGUCGGCUCAUCGCAUCCUGGGGCUGUAGUCGGUCCCAAGGGUUGGGCUGUUCGCCCAUUAAAGCGGUACGCGAGCUGGGUUCAGAACGUCGUGAGACAGUUCGGUCCCUAUCCGUCGUGGGCGUAGGAAAUUUGAGAGGAGCUGUCCUUAGUACGAGAGGACCGGGAUGGACAUACCUCUGGUGUACCAGUUGUCGUGCCAACGGCAUAGCUGGGUAGCUAUGUGUGGACGGGAUAAGUGCUGAAAGCAUCUAAGCAUGAAGCCCCCCUCAAGAUGAGAUUUCCCAACUUCGGUUAUAAGAUCCCUCAAAGAUGAUGAGGUUAAUAGGUUCGAGGUGGAAGCAUGGUGACAUGUGGAGCUGACGAAUACUAAUCGAUCGAAGACUUAAUCAA
rnacentral:rRNA from 116 species